UACGUAGGGACCGAGCGUUGUCCGGAUUCAUUGGGCGUAAAGAGCUCGUAGGCGGCUGUUCAAGUCGAAACGUGAAAAACUCGGAGCUCAACUCCGAGCCUGCGUUCGAUACUGGACGCUAGAGUCUGGUAGGGGGGGAUCUGGAAUUCCUGGUGUAGCGGUGGAAAUGCGCAGAUAUCAGGAGGAAACACCGGUGGCGA
rnacentral:rRNA from 1 species